rnacentral:misc_RNA from 1 species
CCGAGAAUCGUCGAGGGAUGCCUUCACCGGCUACCAAACCCUCGGCGUUCCACCCAACCCUCUGUUGUUAUAACUACUUCGUUGCUUUGGCGGGACCGUUCGGUUCGCUGAGCGCACCGGUCUUCGGACGGGUGAGCGCCCGCCAGAGUCCAACCAAACUCUUGUUUUUAACCAGUCGUCUGAGUAUAAAAUUUUAAUUAAAUUA